rnacentral:tRNA from 1 species
AGGGCAGUGGCUCAAUUGGUAGAGCAGCGGUCUCCAAAACCGCAGGUUGCAGGUUCGAGUCCUGUCUGCCCUGC